GGGCGCUUAGCUCAGCGGGAGAGCACUUCCUUGACAUGGAAGGGGUCACAAGUUCAAUCCUUGUAGCGCCCACCA
rnacentral:tRNA from 2 species